AAAAACAAGCGAGCAAACUUCAAGGCCCACACAAAAGCUGAGCUUCAAAAUGGAAACAAUGAUGAAAAUAAAAACGGCGCUAAAGCUGGCGCCGUCUACCUGCGACGAGGAUUACAACCGCCGCAAACGCGAAAUGAAAGAUUUGUGCUCGGCUAUUCGCAGCUACAACACUGCCAUGGAGAAGGCAAAAGUGUCUGUUAGGCGCCUCGUAGAGGCUCUCACGGAAGCAAGCAAGGUAUUUGAAACACUGUGCAACUACCCAAACAUCCCGGAUUGCACGAAGGAUUGUGCGCUGGCUCUGGUUGCCUCUAUGAAUCGUAUCGAAGGUACAGCCUUUCCAGAGUUCAACGUCGCAAUGGACUCGACUGUUCUCACCGCUACUAACGGGCUGAAGGCCUUGUACGACGAGUGCGAGAGGCUGGAGUGCAAGCGCAACAAGGUCAUGCACGAGUAUGAUACAUACCGCGAGGAGGUCUCAAAAAAAGAGACAGAAUACCUGCGCAAGUCAAAGAGCCUGUUGAAGUCGAAGUACUAUAGCACCGAGGUUGCGAGACGGGACGAGCUGGAGGCGGCCUUCGACUCUGCGGAUCAGAAAUUCAAAGACACCCACGACCAACUCAUGCAAAGUCGUUCGGUCACGUGCACAGACGCUCUCAACGCAUUCGUGAGCUGCAUGUCGCGUUUCAUGGAGGAGAUCUCCGGUGAACUCGAAGGGCUGAAAGGAUCUUCGGAGUAUGUGCUGCCAAUACUGCGCAAUAUCAUGCGUGCAGAGCACGAAAGCGACUAACUAUAAAAUGCCCCAUACCCCCCACAGAUGUGGGCCGUAGGGCAUUUUUUCUUUGGCCGAAGUAGCGCCGUUUGUCGCCACCUACAAACGGUACCACUUUUUUAUUGCGCACGUGAAUUGUCUAACGAACGUGCUUUUGUUUUGUUGCCCCCUUUCUAUUCCCUGAUGCCGGAGAGCACCUCAGUGUGUUCUCACGGUCCAGUGUCUCGCUCUGCAGGGAAGCCAAGCGCCCCCUCACCCUUUAUCCCUGUCGAUGCCGAUCCGCCUCUGGUGGUGACAGAGUCAAGUGUCUACGAUGUAGGGAGGCCAGAGCGAGGUGUCUCGACUGAUGUCGGCGGCCAGGUUCCGGAUGGCGCUGCGUCGGAGCGGCCUGCUACAGUGCGCAACGCUUGUGCCAUCCAUAUGAUAGGUAAAGCGUCAGUGUGGCUUGAAUGCAUCUCACCCCCAAGCCUUCAUUGCCCACUAGUGGGGAGACUGGGCCAUCCCGAGGGAUGCACCACGUGGCGGCCGGCAUGAUUGGGAGCGUCGGAAGGGAGACGUUAAAAAGUAUAUAUAUAUUUGCCUUUAUUUCGGCUGUUUUUCGCUUCUCUGUUAUGCUUCUUUCAGCGUAUCUCACCACUCUGUCCUCAGCGGUAGCCCUUUCGCUGGAUUUACGACAUCUCUGCGGAGAGCGUGUCGAGAACUGGUAGCAUCGCUUGUGCUUUAGGGGCUUCAGCGUUCGCAGCUCGCCUUUUAUAAAGCGGUCCACGUGCCACACACUACAUGCUCCCGCCCACUGAAGGAAGCCAGGCAUCGUUGCUGAUCUUUUUCUUCUCCCCCGUCUCUCUCGUAGUGUCUCGUAUCCUACCGUGUUUAUUCCUACACAAGUUGAUACCCUUACCAACGCACACCAGCCCGAGCAUGCGGGCUGUUGAAUUUGUUGCAUGCGCUCUCUGACGGCGGCUCCUUGCAGGCGAUGCUCGAAGCCAUUUAAAAGGCAGCAGCCUUGUGGGAACUAAACGAGAGGACAGAACUGGUUCGACGUCCCUCUCUACCGCACCCCAGCUUGCCGGGCGAGGGGCAGAGAAGCAGAGGGGCUCUCGAGCAGUUCUCACCCACCCUAUUGAAUGAUGCAAGAUUAAUACGCACAUUCAUCCCUCGCCACGUUCUUCUUUCGCCGCUGCCUCUGUCCUUCUAG
rnacentral:misc_RNA from 1 species